rfam:Schistosoma mansoni, Puerto Rico, WGS project CABG01000000 data, contig: 0115
AUCCAGCUGAUGAGUACCGAAUAGGACGAAACGCUCGUCCUGAAU